rnacentral:tRNA from 1 species
AGGGCAGCAGCUCAGUGGUAGAGCUCCCACUUCGUAUGCGGGAAGACCGGAGUUCGAUUCUCGGCUGCUUAC